UAAUACGGAGGCCCCAAGCGUUGUUCGGAUUUACUGGGCGUAAAGCGUGCGUAGGCGGCGAGGUAAGUUUGGCGUGAAAGCCCCGGGCCCAACCCGGGAAAUGCGCUGAAAACUACUUCACUAGAGGUGUGGAGGGGAGUCUGGAAUUCCUGGUGUAGCAGUGAAAUGCGUAGAUAUCAGGAGGAACAUCAGUGGCGAAGGCGAGACUCUGGAAACAUUCUGACGCUGAGGUACGAAGGCUAGGGUAGCGAAGAGGAUUAGAUACCCUCGUAGUCCUAGCAGUAAACGGUGUGCACUUGCUGUGGGGGGAUUCGACCCCUUCCGUGGCGAAGCUAACGCAUUAAGUGCACCGCCUGGGGAGUACGGCCGCAAGGUUA
rnacentral:rRNA from 1 species